ensembl:rRNA 5S_rRNA 5S ribosomal RNA
CUGAAUAAUUAUAUCCCCCUACAGCCCAAGACCGGUUACUCACUGAAACUUAGCAGGGCUGAGCCUGGUCAGUACCUGGAUGGGAGACCACAUGGGAAAACUAGGUUGCUGUUGGAA